UACGUAGGUGGCAAGCGUUGUCCGGAAUUAUUGGGCGUAAAGCGCGCGCAGGCGGUCCUUUUAAGUCUGAUGUGAAAGCCCACGGCUCAACCGUGGAGGGUCAUUGGAAACUGGGGGGACUUGAGUGCAGAAGAGGAAAGCGGAAUUCCACGUGUAGCGGUGAAAUGGCGUAAAGAUGUGGAGGAACACCAGUGGCGAAGGCGGCUUUCUGGUCUGUAACUGACGCUGAGGCGCGAAAGCGUGGGGAGCAAACAGG
rnacentral:rRNA from 1 species